AGAAUCAACGCUGGCGGCGUGCCUCAGACAUGCAAGUCGAACGAUUAAAGCUCUCUUCGAAGAGUGCAUAGAGUGGCGCACGGGUGAGUAACACGUAAGUAAUCUACCUCUGAGUGGGGAAUACCGUCCGGAAACGGACGCUAAUACCGCAUAAUGCAGCGGCACCGCAAGGUGACAGUUUGUUAAAGAUUUAUCGCUUAGAGAGGAGCUUGCGGCAGAUUAGCUAGUUGGUAAGGUAAUGGCUUACCAAGGCUACGAUCUGUAACCGGUCUUAGAGGACGGUCGGUCACACUGACACUGAAUAACGGGUCAGACU
rnacentral:rRNA from 1 species